rnacentral:rRNA from 1 species
GACGAACGCCGGUGGCGUGCUUACACAUGCAAGUCGAACGGAAAGGCCCUGCUUUUGUGGGGUGCUCGAGUGGCGAACGGGUGAGUAACACGUGAGUAACCUGCCCUUGACUUUGGGAUAACUUCAGGAAACUGGGGCUAAUACCGGAUAGGAGCUCCUGCUGCAUGGUGGGGGUUGGAAAGUUUCGGCGGUUGGGGAUGGACUCGCGGCUUAUCAGCUUGUUGGUGGGGUAGUGGCUUACCAAGGCUUUGACGGGUAGCCGGCCUGAGAGGGUGACCGGCCACAUUGGGACUGAGAUACGGCCCAGACUCCUACGGGAGGCAGCAGUGGGGAAUAUUGCACAAUGGGCGGAAGCCUGAUGCAGCAACGCCGCGUGCGGGAUGACGGCCUUCGGGUUGUAAACCGCUUUCGCCUGUGACGAAGCGUGAGUGACGGUAAUGGGUAAAGAAGCACCGGCUAACUACGUGCCAGCAGCCGCGGUGAUACGUAGGGUGCGAGCGUUGUCCGGAUUUAUUGGGCGUAAAGGGCUCGUAGGUGGUUGAUCGCGUCGGAAGUGUAAUCUUGGGGCUUAACCCUGAGCGUGCUUUCGAUACGGGUUGACUUGAGGAAGGUAGGGGAGAAUGGAAUUCCUGGUGGAGCGGUGGAAUGCGCAGAUAUCAGGAGGAACACCAGUGGCGAAGGCGGUUCUCUGGGCCUUUCCUGACGCUGAGGAGCGAAAGCGUGGGGAGCGAACAGGCUUAGAUACCCUGGUAGUCCACGCUGUAAACGGUGGGUACUAGGUGUGGGGUCCAUUCCACGGGUUCCGUGCCGUAGCUAACGCUUUAAGUACCCCGCCUGGGGAGUACGGCCGCAAGGCUAAAACUCAAAGGAAUUGACGGGGCCCCGCACAAGCGGCGGAGCAUGCGGAUUAAUUCGAUGCAACGCGUAGAACCUUACCUGGGUUUGACAUGGAUCGGGAGUGCUCAGAGAUGGGUGUGCCUCUUUUGGGGUCGGUUCACAGGUGGUGCAUGGCUGUCGUCAGCUCGUGUCGUGAGAUGUUGGGUUAAGUCCCGCAACGAGCGCAACCCUUGUUCACUGUUGCCAGCACGUUAUGGUGGGGACUCAGUGGAGACCGCCGGGGUCAACUCGGAGGAAGGUGGGGAUGACGUCAAGUCAUCAUGCCCCUUAUGUCCAGGGCUUCACGCAUGCUACAAUGGCUGGUACAGAGAGUGGCGAGCCUGUGAGGGUGAGCGAAUCUCGGAAAGCCGGUCUCAGUUCGGAUUGGGGUCUGCAACUCGACCUCAUGAAGUCGGAGUCGCUAGUAAUCGCAGAUCAGCAACGCUGCGGUGAAUACGUUCCCGGGGCG